UAUGGGCCCUCAUGACAAUCUUGUUAUCACUAAAAUCAUGAAUGUUAUGAAGGCCCAUGGC
ncrna:Panagrellus redivivus microRNA prd-mir-7939i precursor